GACGAACGCUGGCGGCGUGCUUAACACAUGCAAGUCGAACGGAAAGGCCCUGCUUUUGUGGGGUGCUCGAGUGGCGAACGGGUGAGUAACACGUGAGUAACCUGCCCUUGACUUUGGGAUAACUUCAGGAAACUGGGGCUAAUACCGGAUAGGAUCUCCUGCUGCAUGGUGGGGGUUGGAAAGUUUCGGCGGUUGGGGAUGGACUCGCGGCUUAUCAGCUUGUUAGUUGGGUAGUGGCUUACCAAGGCUUUGGCGGGUAGCCGGCCUGAGAGGGUGACCGGCCACAUUGGGACUGAGGGACGGCGCAGACGCGUACGGGAGGCAGCAGGGGGGAAUCUGGCACAAUGGGAGGAAGCCUGAUGCAGCAACGCCGCGGGCGGGAUGACGGCCUGCGGGGUGUAAACCGCUGUCGCCUGUGGCGAAGCGGGAGUGACGGUAAUGGGUAAAGAAGCACCGGCUAACUACGUG
rnacentral:rRNA from 1 species